ensembl:lncRNA
GAUAUGCAGCAGGGUGGGUCCGUCUGAUAAAGUGCCAAAUACAGAUUUACAAAACAACAGAGGUGGUGGAAGACCCCGUCGGCGUCCCAAAUUACACCCUACUCUCUGUAGUGCACUACAUUAGACCAGAAUGGCACCCUAUUCCCUCUGUAGUGCACUACUGUUGACCAGAGGGUUCCCUAUUCCCUCUGUAGUGCACUACUGUUGACCAGAAUGGCACCCUAUUCCCUCUGUAGUGCACUACUGUUGACCAGAGGGGUUCCCUAUUCCCUCUGUAGUGCACUACUGUUGACCAGAAUGGCUCCCUAUUCCCUCUGUAGUGCACUACUGUUGACCGUAUAUAGGAAAUCGGAUGCCAUUUGGGAUGCAAUCGACUCUCUCCCCCCCAACCCCAACCCUGGUCCCACAGUGCAUUGCUUUAGAGGAAAGUGGCCAACGUUAAACUGAUCUUUGUGUCUAGGGACAACUUCCAACUUGAGCCCAGGAUAAAGGAUGAGCUAUGACCUCAGGG